GCAGUCUGAAACUCGAGUGCAUGAAGCUGGAAUCGCUAGUAAUCGCAAAUCAGAAUGUUGCGGUGAAUACGUUCCCGGGUCUUGUACACACCGCCCGUCACACCAUGGGAGUUGGAAAUGCCCGAAGUCAGUGACCCAACCUAAGGGAGGGAGCUGCCGAAGGCAGGUUCGAUGACUGGGGUGAAGUCGUAACAAGGUAAC
rnacentral:rRNA from 1 species